CACCAUUCACUCAACACACCCCCUAUGUUAAAGCUUAUUCUAUCCCAGCCACUGUGCUGGGUGCUUGAAUAAGUGCUUAAAUAAGAACAUGUUCCCUGACCUGGGGACUCAUCAGGUAGUAUAACUGUUCUCUAAAUUUUGGGAGGUGACAGACUUCCAAGAUUGUGAUCAAAGCUGUGGGCCCACUUCCUGGAAAACUGC
rnacentral:lncRNA from 1 species